UACGGGGGGGGCAAGCGUUGUUCGGAAUUACUGGGCGUAAAGGGCUCGUAGGCGGCCAACUAAGUCGGACGUGAAAUCCCUCGGCUUAACCGGGGAACUGCGUCCGAUACUGGAUGGCUCGAGUGUGGGAGAGGGAUGCGGAAUUCCAGGUGUAGCGGUGAAAUGCGUAGAUAUCUGGAGGAACACCGGUGGCGAAGGCGGCAUCCUGGACCACGACUGACGCUGAUGAGCGAAAGCCAGGGGAGCAAACGGG
rnacentral:rRNA from 1 species